rnacentral:rRNA from 1 species
AUUGAACGCUGGCGGCAGGCCUAACACAUGCAAGUCGAACGGUAACAGGGAUCAGCUUGCUGAUUCGCUGACGAGUGGCGGACGGGUGAGUAAUGUCUGGGAAACUGCCUGAUGGAGGGGGAUAACUACUGGAAACGGUAGCUAAUACCGCAUAACGUCGCAAGACCAAAGAUGGGGACCUUCGGGCCUCUUGCCAUCGGAUGUGCCCAGAUGGGAUUAGCUAGUAGGUGGGGUAACGGCUCACCUAGGCGACGAUCCCUAGCUGGUCUGAGAGGAUGACCAGCCACACUGGAACUGAGACACGGUCCAGACUCCUACGGGAGGCAGCAGUGGGGAAUAUUGCACAAUGGGCGCAAGCCUGAUGCAGCCAUGCCGCGUGUAUGAAGAAGGCCUUCGGGUUGUAAAGUACUUUCAGCGGGGAGGAAGGGAGUAAAGUUAAUACCUUUGCUCAUUGACGUUACCCGCAGAAGAAGCACCGGCUAACUCCGUG